UAAAACACAGCUGACCCCCCUGCCCACUAGUUGCCAGCAAACCUCCAACCAUUUUUCUAAAACCACUGCUCCAAGCCAAUCAUAUGGGUUCUAUCACUGCCACCGUCACCAGUAUCUGGCUCAUAAAUCCAGGCUUCACUGUCCAGUGCCUGGUUGUGGUUGGUUUGGGAAGAGGAAACAUGAUGUAAUGUCAGCCAAUGAAACACAGAGCAAGUUUGCUGGGCGCCUGGCAGGAAGUUUCCUAGGAGAAAACCACAGGACAGACAGUUUCUUUCUUUUUCUCUUCAUGAUUACAAAUGGAUAUGAGGCCUGAAAAUUCUAAGCUCAUCUCAGAACCAGCUGGAAGAUGAAGUGAACAAGCAAGGAGGGCAGAGCCAGAAGCACAGGAGAACUGAGGAUACUGAGAAUCAGAAAGGCCGUUAACAUGCUACUUGACAAGCAAACUACCCCUUACCCUCAAGAUUCUAGCUCCAUUCAUGAUUCACGGUGGAAAUAUAAGAGUUCACAAGCAGGCAGAGAUCGAGGAAGGGAACCAGACUCCCUGCUGAGCAGAAAGCCCAAUGCAGGGCUCCAUCCCAGGACCUUGGGAUCAUGACCUGAGCCGAAGGCAGAGGCUCUAACCCACUGAGCCACCCAGGCGUCCCCCCACAGGCAGGGCGCUGCACUGGAAAACCCGGCCGGUAAGCCGCCCGCUUCCUCGCACUGCACGUUAAGAGGCAAACGGCUCUUUAAACACGGGGCCAGGUGCCACUCGAGACGGUUCGGUCUCACCGCAACAGCUGUUCACACCUAGGCUGCGGGCUCCCUGCGAUCCGCCGCGAACCGCCGCGCCCCCGCCGCGAAAGCACACGCUCGCUCCGGGCGCCACAGCGAGGCGCCGGCGGAGGGCUGCGACUCGGUCCUCCCGAUUAACCGUGAGCGCGCUCCGCCCCGGGCCCGCCCGCCGGGGCCCGCAAACCCGCGCUGGCCCUCUCCUGCGGACGACCACAACCUUUACCCGCGAAACAAGAACCCUCGCUGGCCUUUUCGUUGCCCUCACGAGCGACACACC